GGCGGUUCCUUCCCACAAAGAAUUACCCGACCCCAAGCACCAGUAGUGCUGGGACUGAGAAAGUCUGUGAGUGAUUAUUGCUUCCUGCCACCCCUGCAGGCCUCCUGGUUGCAUCAGUGUCAGGUCCACAGUCAUGAAAUGAAGACAGAGAAAGAGAAAUAACUAUGACCACGCCCUAACUUUUUUGCACUUCAUUGAACAUAAAACAUCUAAACUUCAAAACCCUCAAGUGCUUGGAAACAUCACCUACAGACAAUGACAACUCGUCUUCAAAUUUCCGAUUUCUCCUUCUUAGGUUCCAUGGUGGAAUGGAGGGAUUUGUUGAAGCUGCAUCUUUGAACACUGGCCCCCUCUAUUUCUUUGAUCAGUUGAAACCUGAGAGGGAAAAAUGGAGAAAGGAAACAUGUGAAGACCAAUUCUCCCACCCGUUGGCAAAUUAUAGCAAGGAAAAUCCAAAAAGACUGAAGCAAGCCAAAGUGAGCACAGCAGCUUCAUGUGAGAAAUACGAGUUCUGCUCGGCUGGCCUCUUGGAGCCUCCCAGUCUGCUCAGGCUCCCAUCCAGCCUCAAGCCCUCCAGACUACGCUUGCAGAACUGCCUGUUUGAAGAGGACAAACGCAUCAGCCCUGAAACCCUGUGAGCUCAAGAAGACCUGUGGAGAUACGUGGAGCAUAGCAUCCCAUUCCCCGUGGGCCUCGUCAACCUGGUGAACUACAGCUGGCAAGACCUCACGGAGGGCACCCCGAGGCACUGCCCACCCUGGGUGCCAGACCCGGCAGGGCAAGGGCAGCCUGCAGCCCCCCGGGACUUACAGAAAUGCAAAUCCAGCAGCAACCCCAGGGAAGGCUUUCAUAAGGAGAGUCAUCCAGUUAAAGCAAAACAAGAGGACCACGUUUCAGCAAGUAAAUCCAUGAAAAAAUUAUGUAAGUAGAAGUUACUGGUUAAAUUUAUAAAUAAUGCUUCGGGAUAAAGGAAUAAAAACAGUAAGGAAGUGGGCCAGGGAUGUAGCUCAGUGGCA
rnacentral:lncRNA from 1 species